UACAGAGGUCCCAAGCGUUGUUCGGAUUCAUUGGGCGUAAAGGGUGCGUAGGCGGCGCGAUAAGUCGGGUGUGAAAUCUCGGGGCUUAACUCCGAAACUGCAUUCGAUACUGCCGUGCUUGAGGACUGGAGAGGAGACUGGAAUUUACGGUGUAGCGGUGAAAUGCGUAGAUAUCGUAAGGAAGACCAGUGGCGAAGGCGGGUCUCUGGACAGUUCCUGACGCUGAGGCACGAAGGCCAGGGGAGCAAACGGG
rnacentral:rRNA from 1 species